AAAUAUCGUCAAGGCUCUGCUUCAGUACUUUAGUGCUGCCUUAGGUUGACGACAUUCUUAACAGCUUAUCAGACCCUUGACGACUUAUCACAAAAUGUCGUCACAGACUUCAACUUAGGCUAAUUCUCUAUCUAUGGCUGACGAUGACCUUGAUAGCUUAUCACAAGGCUGACGACUUAUCACAAAUGUUGUCAACCACACUUUUCUUCUGAUUUCAACUUCUUUUCUUCUAUUCUUAUUCGUUCUCUAUCAUAUCAGCUUCUACUGCAAAAUCAAACAUAAACCAAUAAAAAAAGAUAAAAGUUGCUUAAGACUUCACAAUUAUUCUUAGUUAAAAGCCUCAAAUGUGUUAGUGUUAGCUCACACAUCAAUACUACAAACCAACUCAGAAUCUUAGCACGAUAUGUAUGAAAAAAAUAAAGAACUCCAAAGAAUGACGCAUAGCCUCCCGAAGAUUGGAAAUGGCCAUCAAUGUUUUGACCCGCAGGACUCUAUUAGAAACUUGCUCUUGUACCAAUAAUACCAGUAAAACCUAGGCUCUGAUACUAAUUUGUCACAUCCCAAAUUUUGAGUCAUGAUGGCACCUACCAUAACCCACUAGUAGGUAAGCCGACACCAUAACCCGGAGCUAAUGCAAUGGGUUACCUUGGUAGAAACAUCCAACAUGGACCCUAUGUAGCAACACAAUAUAACAACAACAUUCUACAAACAAAAUUACUAACAUUCGAAUACCAAUACCAUGACCUGGUAGUAUAAGUACAAGAGCAACUCUAAAUCUGACAACAAAAAUUAGAAUUUGAAGUCUAGAAACUUAAAUAGUCUUAUACAACUGUCUUGAGUACAAAAGACAAGUAAAGAAAGAAUAAAAAGAGGGAAACUCAAACUCCAAGAUCUCGCCCUAUCCCCUGAUGAUCAACACAACACGAUCUCGACUCAACAGUGGAAACUAGAACUCAGGUUUGCACCAAAAAGGUACAUAAAUGCAGUAUGAGUACCAAAACACGGGUACUCAUUACGCAUCAUCGGCUGACUGAGCUCAAAUAUGAUAUAAAGAUGAGAUAAAGUAAGACAAUGAUCUUAAUGUCAAGGGGUAGGAUCGAACCUGAAUCUACUUUAAUACUACUGUAAGAACAUCUAUACUACUAAAGCAAUAACAUGACAUCCUGUUUCAAAAUACUCCAUAAUCACCAUAACAACUGAGAAUCAUUUUGAAAGAGUACAGUUAUAUACACAAUAUCAAAACAUCUACUUUAUAUAAUCAUCAUUAACCAUCUUUAGACCAUAAACACAAGAACUUACCACAACGUCCACUAUCAGGAAGUACACGAAAGAGAGCACAACAAAGAACGCAUCACAACAUCCCAUACCACCGAAGAAUAUAUAAAAGAACAUCAAACAAGAACUCAUCACAACAUCCUAUACCACCGGAGAGUACACCAAAGAAUACAACCAAUAAUACAAUAAAGCACAACUACUCCAUCAAUUUAACAAAAAUCGCAGGUAGCAUAACCCCGCCAUGGGUCAUUACCGAAAUCCACUUCCAAUUACCCAUACCUUAAUUCAACAUAAAGAAAGCAACAUUGUCAUAGCAUAGGUUUGUAAUCAUUAAUUCUAUAAUUCAUUGAUAAAUACUGCGAAGUCCACACUACUUAACCUUAUUUUUCCAAAAGUCAAAAGAUUACAAGUCUUAAAAUCACUAGUAAUCAAAUUGGGGAAAAACUACAAGACACCCAUAGUAUAGGUUAUUCAACUAUCAUAAGGCCAUUCUUUAACUAGGAUCAUCAUUACAUGAGUUAUCAACUAAGCCAUCUCAACUUCACAUGUUAGGAGAUAAUUUAACUAACCAUCACGCAAUACUAGAUCCAUCAUCACUAAGCAUGUCACAAACUUAAGGACUAGUUUCCAUAUUUUAAUCAAGUAAAGUCCACCAACUAGUUUACUAGGUUUCGAGGUUUCAAAUAAUAAUCAUAUACUUUAGAAGUAGCUAGUUAUCACAUAAGCCACCUUACUAGGCAAGAUUUCAUAGUAUAACCUCUUAUUCAAGUCAAGUAUAUAUAUAGGUUAGCCCUUGAAUUUUUUAUGAAAGUUUACACAUAACGCUAAGCCUUAACUUAAUAUUAGACAUAAAUUUCCCCUAGUAGCUAAUUUAGCAUCAACAAGGGUCACACCUCUUAUAUAGUUAUUUGGAACAAGAAAUGAAUAAUAAUUUACCAGGAGAGACCUCAUAAUUCAAGCAUAUAGGUGGUUGGCCCCAUAUGGCCUAAACUUACAAAUAUCAAUACAUAUAAGUAAAUUUGGCCCACACAGCAUCAUUAUGUUCUUACCUCUUUCGGAUUCAUCAGGCAUCAUCACAAUAUUGACAUAUUUCUCUGAAUUCAUCGGGAUUAUCAUAAUAUCACACAUUCCUCUAGAAUUGAACCGGGCAUCAUCAUAAUAUAACAUAUUCCUCCAAAUUCACCGAGCAUCAUCAAAAUAUCACAUAUUCCUCCGAACUCGAAUCGGGCAUCAUCAUAAUAUCACAUAUUCCUUCGGACUCGAAUCGGGUAUCUUUAUAAUAUCACAUAUUCCUCCAGAUUCACUGGGCAUCAUCAUAAUAUCAUAUAUUUCUCCAGACUCAAACUGGGCAUCAUCAUACUAUCACAUAUUCAUAUAGAGUCAAACCGAGCAUCAUUAUACUAUCACAUAUUUUUCUAGAUACAACAACAUACGUCCACAUGCAUAGCCAAACCAAUAACCAAAUACUCAAGCUCACAAUACAUAAAAAAAUAGGGAUGUGGGAUAACACUUGCCAUUUUACCUUACUAAUAAGCUUCACACGUAAUGUGAGCAUCAAUAAGAGCAUGAGUAUUUACCAAACAUUCACAAUAAUCACUUAACAAGGUUAUUCAAGUCAUGAUAAUAAGAAAAUAUGAUAAUCGAGUGCAACCAUCCCAACUUCUAUACAUAUACAUAUAGCUUGGACAAUCACUACGUAUCUAGGUCGCUAAGCAUUUACUUUGUUCAAGCUUAAGGUGGGUCAAUUCCCACUUCUAAAUCCCGAGAAUACCAAGCUUACUAAAAUAUGUCUAGCAUCUACCCAAAAUUAGGCUAAGUCAUCCAUACCUCACCAUAAAGUCUUACCAAUCCUUUCUAAAUCUAUAGGGAAAGUCUCUUCAAGAAUCCUUCCUAAGUAAACCCAACACCAAGGUCAUCUCCUAUCUAGGAAUUAUAUAGGUUAAUACACUCCUACAGAUAGAGAAGUAUACCAUUCAUGUCUACUUAGGACAACUAUAGUAUUCUCACACUAUUCAUGAGACCACAAUUAAGCUAACCAAGGUCCUAAAGUAAGUGUCAAAUAUCAUACCUUACAAAUCCAUGGACUAUAACAAUUAAUAAAUCCCAAGUUCACUAAUUAAUCAACUAUCGUCUAAAUUCCCCACCCAAUCUCGCAAGAUAUUAAUGAUUAUAUUAUAAACAAGCUCAAUCUGGACCACGAGUAAGCCUAACCUACCUUGAAUCCAAGCAAAUCAUGAACCAACGAGUUUUUCCUUUCCUUUUUGAGAAGCUUUCUCUUCCACAAGCAAUGCUAUCAACAAUAUAAUCUAAUCAUUACAACAAGAAUAAAAAUACCCAUUAUAGCACCAUUGUGCCAUGGGUUUCAAAAUGACAUCAAACCUCAAGUGGGUCCUACCUUUGGAAAAUGAGUUGCUGAUACCAACCCAUAGUCUAAAUAUUAUUAGGGAGCUAAUAACCCUCAAGAAAUUUAAGUAAAUCAAUCAUAUUUUUGGAUACAAUUGAACGUCAAAGACUUAGGAUUUUUUGGUCUAGAAAUCAAGAAAUUAAUAUCAAAUUUGAAAAAAUCUUACCUUAGAUUUGUAGAAGAAAAAUUAGAUUAACACAAGUUGCUAAGCUUCUAAUCAAUCGACAAGACUCAUUUUUUCUGUCAACAAAUAUUUAUGGCUUUUAGGGUUUUGAAAAUGCUGAAAAUAUCUCAAAAAUUGGCCAAAGGGCCUUUUUAUACGAGUUCAAAUGGGUCAGUAGGGUCAAAACUUGUUUUUCACCUACCAGACUCAUUCAGACUCUGUUUUUCACAAACGAACUAUGUAACCUUACUAAAUUUGAUAUUUUAGAUACAUUGGUGAAGUUAGAUUUGCCAUCCGAGGUCAUUUAAGCUACUUGUUGGUCCCACACCCAUAUAUUUCGACUUUUGACUUUUUGACUAAUGGGUCAAAUUAGCUUGGGUGCUGUGGGAUCCGAACCAAAAGUCUACCUAUCGUAAAAUCAAUAUUACAUAGCUACUGAUGUAGUCAAAAUUUGUAUCUGAAAUUGUUUUGGUAAAGUUUUUGUUUAGAGGCCAUUUGGAAUCGACGAAGACUUCAAAUUGGAAAAGUGGUUCUAAAAACCAAACAAACUGUCAUGUAACCGACUUAUCGAUUCCACCAAGUAACUAAUGACUUGUGACGGCUAUGAAGGAGCUCUAUAAGCAAAGAUAAGCAAAACACAGCUAAUGGCCUGGAGGUUCAUUACAAAUACACACUUGAAUUUAUUUUUGGUUAGAAAUGAUAUAAAUACCAAGUUCUUUAUCAACUACAGUAUAUGAAGGACUUUGUUGAGUGUCAACGCCUUUCCUUAUGUUAUCUUCAAGAAAAUUUUUCUUGUUCCUUCAACCUUUGCUAUUGUGGAGUUAUCCAUAUAAAUCUUCUCCUCAUCUUGAGCCGAAGCAUAAGAACCAAAAAACUCCUUGUUGGCACAUAUGUAGCAUGUGGCACUGGAAUCAAUCCAUCACUCUUUAGGAUUACCCACCAAGUUACAUUCUAAGAGCAUGGAUCAUAGAUCAUCCACUUUAUUUUUUGAUUCAGCCAUGUUGGCUUGAUCCUUCUUCUUGACUUUCUUUGGGGCCCGAUAAUCUAUGGAUUUAUGGCCAGCCUUGCCAUAAUUAAAGCAAUUUUCUUUGAACUUUUUAUUUAGAGGAUUGCUUUGUUGUUCAAAUGUUUUCUUUUAUUUCUUUAAGUUAUUAGGGUCAUCUUCAUCAAGAUUUGCUCCACUAAUUACAGAAUUCCCUUUUUCAUCUACUUUGUUAUCUUCUUCAGUAUGUAACCUCACGAUGAGGCCUUCAACAGAAAUUUUCUUUUCUUUAUGCUUCUAGUAAUUUUUAAAGUCGUUCCACAAAGGUGACAACUUUUCUAUUAUAGCCACUACUUUGAAAGCCUUAUUCACAAUCAAACCUACAACAAAGAUUAUAUGAUUGUUAAAAAGAACUUUAAUAUGUUCAAGUAAGGUACUCACUAUGUUUAUACCUUCUGCUAGGAGAUCAUGGAUGAUCACUUACAGUUGUUGCACUUGAGAGAUGAUAUUCUUACGGUUUGUCAUCUUAAAUACAAGAAAUUUUGCAAGAAGAACUAUUUAGUUCCAGCAUCCCCAGUUUUAUAUCUUAAUUCCGAUGCAUCCCAUAAUUUUUUCAAGGUUUUUAGACCGCUGUACACAUUGUACAGAUACUCUUGAAGACUACUUAGUAUAUAUUUCUUACAUGAAAAGUUUGAGCCUUUUCUUGCCUGCAUUACUAUAAAACGUUCCUUGUUCGGUAUCUCUUAGGGAAAUUGUUUAACAUUUUCAAAGAUAAACCUUUAAAAACUUAGAGUCGUCAAAUAGAAGAACAUCUUUUGCUACCAACGUUUGAAAUUCACACCUGGAAACAUUUUGAAUUUUUUUGUUGGUGCCAUAGUGAGCGCGACACUCGUAUGGCUUAUUGUAGCAACAGUUGUAGUUGCUAUACUUGUCUUUUUACCAUUUUAAUGACUUUCAACAGGCAUUUUUUCUGUCACAAAAAGACAACCAAUUUAGUAUGUCAGAAGAAUACUAACUAUAAAGUUUUAAAAACUCUAAGCACCAACUUGUUUCUAGUUUAACAGUGAAGUUUUUAUGUUUUUCAAAUCGUCAAUCGAAUGAACUUUAACUUGUGGUAAAAUUUUUAUAUCUUUAAAUCACUAUUAAGUUCAAACAGAGUAGAAAUUCAAAUUCUUUAAUCUUUAGAAGCAUAAAAAUACAGAGAUUUCAAUGAAUCAGUGAAGUAUUUAUAUUCUGCAAACCAAAUUCCCAAAUUGAUUUGUCGGUUAAGUUUUUAUAUUCUAUCUGUAUUGAUUAAUCAUGUGUUUCAAGGCAUCCCUAUACAUCUAUUAUCAAAACUCAAUCCUCCUAAAGGGGUACUAAGGCAUUUACAUAGCAUCUUUGCUAUGUUUUUCCGGAAGAACACCACAGAUAAGAAGAGUAGACAUUGGGUGAGUUGGGACACUUUAUGCUUACCUAAAUUAGAAGGAGGUGUUGGUUUUAGGUCUCUUUUUGAUGUUUCUAAUGUUCUUUUUUGUAAAAUUUUAUGGAACUUGAGGAGUAGACCUUCACAAUUGGGAGCUUUUAUGACCAACAAAUAUUGCAAAAAAGCUUCAUCCAGUAUUGACCUAAUGUAGGGGAGAUUCCCCUAUAUGGAAAAAGCUAAGAUUUGACAGAGAGCUCAUAGAGCAUCAAAUUUGGUGGAAGAUUGAGAAUGGGAAUUCUAGUUUUUGGUAUGACUUUUGGACUACAAUGGGAGCAUUAUAUCACAUUAUCGCAGAUAUAGGGGAUGGGGAAAUUGAAGUUAGGAAUUUUACAACUGUAAAUAGGUGGAAUGAGCAAAGUUUGAGUAAAUUUUUCCCUAAAGAGAAUGUAGAUUUCAUCAUUAAAAACAUCUGAUCUCCAAUGCAAAUAGAUAAUCUAGAUAAAUAGUGUGGAUGCUUGAACCUAGUGGAAUUUUCUCAGUCAAGAGUGUGUGUGAGUAUACUAUACAAAAGGAUCAGAAAGAAGACAUAUUUUAAUAUUUAUGGAGUGAUAAGCUGCCUUUUAAAAUAUCUUUUUUCACUUGGAGAAUGUGGAAAUUCAGGGUGCCAGUGGAUAAAAUAGUGCAACACAUGGGUGUUAACAUGGUUUCUAGGUGUUGGUGUUGCACUAAUGGUUACUAAUGUUGCAGGUAUAUACAUUGAAGGCUUACAGUUAUCACAAGUGAUCAUUAAAUGGUGGCCAAGAAAAUGUUGUUCAAACUUAAAGCUACUUAUGAGAGCUAUAUCAUCUAUAAUUAUUUGGAACCUAUGGAAGAGAAGGAAUAGAUUAAAGCAUUGAAAUACAUCAUCAUUUACUCAUUUAGUUUUCAAGGUCAACGCUAACCUAUGAAGACUCGGGAGAAUUCUACAUCCAAAAAUACAUGAUUUCCCAAUACACUGGUAAAAUAUUAUGGUAUAUUAAGAGAACCUUAAAGCCAAACUAUUUCAUCUUCCAAUUUGCUGGAAACCACUGGAAGGAUGUCUAAAAUACAACACUGAUGGUAUAUCAAGAGGCAAUCCAUGUAGGAGCACCUGCAAUUUCUUCUUGAGGAACUUUGCAGGUGAUUUAAUAUAUGCUCAAGGGGAAAAAAUUCAGGAAAGCACAAUUCUAGAAGCAGAAGCCAUGGCAAUAAAAAAGGCUCUAGCACACUGUGUGACAAAAGGGAUUACUAAAGUUAGUCUGGAAAUGGAUUCACUAAUGAUGAUUAAAAUUCUUACAAAAAUGUGAUUACCUUGGAAUAUUAUUGGGAUCGUGGAAGCAGAACAGAAAUAUUUAGAACUAUGUCAGGUUCACAUCCAACAUGUAUACAAAAAGGGUAAUUAUUUGGUUGAUUGCUAGCCAAUUUAGCUUUUGAUAAUACAGGUAGACUUGUCUUUAAUUUCUUCUCAGAAUUACCAAGUCAUGCCAGAAGGAUUUUGAAUCUAGAUAAGCAUCAAGUGCCAAAUUUAAGAAUUCGUACUAAGGAAAUAGUUAGAUAUAAGGAUGGGUGUCAAGGAUCCGUCACAACAAUUAUAAGAUGAGUUCAAGCAUUUUUAUUUUCUUGAUGUAGAUUAGUAUUUCUAGUACCUUUGUAGAGGAACAAUUCAUUUCAAAAACCCAAUUCAUAAGGGCAUUUAUAGAUCUAAAGUCAUUGUACUUGAGCGAAGAAUUAUAGAAGACAUGAUUAUAAGUCUUGGUACAGAUUCAAACUUCUUUGAGUCGUCACAGAUGCAAGUCAAAGCUAUAGGAAAACACACAGAUAUAAAGAUAAAUAUUUGCAAAGGGAAAGCCAACUUAUACCUGGAAAAAACUCCAAAAAUCUAUUUGAAGCAGGUUGUGGUCGGUUAAUAAGAAGCUCGCCGGAAGUCUUUCGCUCCAGGAGCUCAUCACCAAACAUUUUUGUUGCUAAAAAUAUUAGUAGGAAAGCCAAGAAAUAAAAAUAAUAUGGGAAAGGAGCUUACAUUUGUUUCACAGCAGGUCAUCACUUUCCUAUUUGCUCAAAUGAUGGAAGAUGAUGGAGAGGAAUUAGCAGAGCUUCUGAUUCAUUUGCCUCUUCAUUUUCUUACUUUUUGUAUUAUUAUUUCCAAGGAAAUGUAUCGAUUGGGAUGCUCUUUUUUUUAUGGACAUGGUUUUAUU
rnacentral:lncRNA from 1 species